GUGUCAGCAGCCGCGGUAAUACGUAGGUGGCAAGCGUUGUCCGGAUUUAUUGGGCGUAAAGCGAGCGCAGGUGGUUCUUUAAGUCUGAUGUGAAAGCCCCCGGCUCAACCGGGGAGGGUCAUUGGAAACUGGGGAACUUGAGUGCAGAAGAGGAGAGUGGAAUUCCAUGUGUAGCGGUGAAAUGCGUAGAUAUAUGGAGGAACACCAGUGGCGAAGGCGACUCUCUGGUCUGUAACUGACACUGAGGCUCGAAAGCGUGGGGAGCAAACAGGAUUAGAUACCCUGGUAGUCCACGCCGUAAACGAUGAGUGCUAAGUGUUGGAGGGUUUCCGCCCUUCAGUGCUGCAGUUAACGCAUUAAGCACUCCGCCUGGGGAGUACGGUCGCAAGACUGAAACUUAAAUAAAUUGGCGG
rnacentral:rRNA from 1 species